GACGAACGCUGGCGGCGUGCCUAAUACAUGCAAGUAGAACGCUGAAGAGAGGAGCUUGCUCUUCUUGGAUGAGUUGCGAACGGGUGAGUAACGCGUAGGUAACCUGCCUUGUAGCGGGAGAUAACUAUUGGAAACGAUAGCUAAUACCGCAUAACAAUGGAUGACACAUGUCAUUUAUUUGAAAGGGGCAAUUGCUCCACUACAAGAUGGACCUGCGUUGUAUUAGCUAGUAGGUGAGGUAACGGCUCACCUAGGCGACGAUACAUAGCCGACCUGAGAGGGUGAUCGGCCACACUGGGACUGAGACACGGCCCAGACUCCUACGGGAGGCAGCAGUAGGGAAUCUUCGGCAAUGGGGGCAACCCUGACCGAGCAACGCCGCGUGAGUGAAGAAGGUUUUCGGAUCGUAAAGCUCUGUUGUAAGUCAAGAACGAGUGUGAGAGUGGAAAGUUCACACUGUGACGGUAGCUUACCAGAAAGGGACGGCUAACUACGUG
rnacentral:rRNA from 1 species